CAAUCUGCGCAUCAUACUUCAGUCUUUUCCCUUUAUCUUUUCGUAUUGAAGUCAUAUCCAUAAAAGCAGGAGGUCCCUAUACAGACAAACACCGACGCACGUAGCAGCCUCCCCUCCUCCAUCCCGCCCCAUCCCUCCUUUCCUCCGCGCGUCCCCAUCCUGCUGUGUGCCUCCAGCUCCUCUUCCGUCUUUUCUCACGCCGCCCUCAACGUAGACACACACACACACACACGAGCACACACCAGCAAGCAGCCAUGGGGCUCUUCUCGGAUUCGGUGGCGAUGAUGCGUGUAAAGUGGCAGAUGCGCUCUGUGAAGAUUCAGGUGCCGCCGGAGGAGACGGACUUACGCUUCUGCUACGAUAUCAUGAACGACGUCUCUCGAUCCUUCGCGGUUGUCGUGGCGCAGCUCGCAGACCAGCAGCUCCGUGAUGCCAUCUGCAUCUUCUACCUUGUCCUCCGCGCGCUCGAUACCUUGGAGGAUGACAUGAGCGUUCCGGUAGACGUCAAGCUGAAGGAGCUUCCGAAGUUCCACACGCACACGAGCGACAUGAGCUGGUGCAUGAGCGGCGUCGGCGAGGGACGCGAGCGCGAACUGCUGGAGAAAUACCCGUGCGUGUCGCGCGCAUUCAAGAAGCUGAAGAAGGGCUAUCAGGACGUCAUCGCCAAUAUCUGCGAGCGCAUGGCAAACGGCAUGUGCGAGUUCCUGAAGCGCCCGGUGGUCACAAAGGACGACUACAACGAGUACUGCCACUAUGUCGCCGGUCUCGUCGGCCACGGCCUCACCCAGCUCUUCGCCCGCUGCGGCUUUGAGGACCCGAGCCUGGACGACGAUCUCACCAGUUCCAACCACAUGGGUCUCUUCCUGCAGAAGACAAACAUCAUCCGCGACUACUACGAGGACAUCCGCGAGGAGCCGCCGCGGAUGUUCUGGCCGAAGGAGAUCUGGGGCACGUACGUGACGGAGCUGAAGGAGCUGAAGAGUGAGUCGAACAAUGCGGCAGCGGUGCAGUGCCUGAACGCCAUGGUGGCCGACGCUCUCGUGCAUGUCCCAUACAUCGUGGACUACCUCUCCGCUCUGCGCGACCCGUCCGUGUUCCGCUUCUGCGCCAUUCCUCAGGUGAUGGCCAUUGCUACGCUGAAGGAGGUGUACAACAACCCCGACACGUUCCAGGUCAAGGUGAAGGUGUCACGGCCGGAGUCGUGUCGUAUUAUGCUCAAGGCCACGACCCUCUACAGCUCCCUCAGCAUGCUCCGCGACUACUGCGUGGAGCUGCAGGAGAAGCUAGACAUGCAAGACGCCAGUUCCACAUCGAUCGCCAACUCGCUGGCGGCGGCGAUUGAGCGGAUCGACCUGCAGCUGAAGAAGUGCCAGGACGUCUCCUACACCCGCAGCCUCCUCGCCCGCUACCCAGGCCUCGGUGGCCAGUUCCUUCUCACCGUCAUGGAUACCGUCGCUGGUUUCUUUGGUGGCCGCAAGGGGAUUGCCGACCACGCGUAAGGACAACCGAAAGCAAAGGUCCUGCGGACGGCAGGAAGAGAGGGGAGGGGCAGGCGCGCAUGGGUGUGCGCUGACAGCCCUCCCUCCCUCCCUCCCUCCCCGCAUCUUAUGUGGAUACGCACACUGUGUGCGCGUGUCAAAUGUUUACAACUUUCUUUUCUAUAAGCGCAGCAUCUGCACGUCCAUGUAGAGACCGAAGUCGAUGCGUGUGAUCCUCUGUAUGCGUCUUUGUGCGUGCGUGUGGUUGUCAACCCCCUACCCCCACCCGUGCGCGCCUCGCCUCUCUCCACUCAUGGCUCGUCUUACGGAACGCGUCUCUGGCGGAAAGGUCGGCGACCAGACUCCCACACACGCAGCCAUGCAGACGCAGUGCAGAUGCUCUUAAUAGAACGUUUUCCGUCUCUUUUCUUCCUUUUCAUGAAAUGCGCAGCGUCGAUGUGGUGCUGUCGCGUGGCGCAUUUCGAGUGCGCGUGCGCGUGCGCGUGCGUGUGCGUGUGUGUGUGCGCGCAUGUUUGCGUUUUGUGUUCCCUUCCUUUUCCGUUUCCUUCUUUGUUUGCCACGUUUUGUUUUGCCCGUGAUGCUGCUUCCCGCUUCUCUCAGCAUUGGACGCCGCUUUCGCAACUUCUGCUGACCCACUCUGUCUCUGCCUGUCUGUCUGUCUGUCUCGCAUCGGUUCGGCAUUAGCGGCUGUCAUUCGGCGCUGCAGAAGGACGUGUGCGCGGAGGCGAAGCACGCAACACAAAAAUAUUUUUCUGCUCGUGUCAGCUCUGUUUCUCCGUUUCUCUGUUUUCGUAUCUCUCCGUAGCUGUGACCGUAACGUGUGCAUAUAAACAUGUGUGUGUAUGUGUUGCUUCUCUCUGUCUGUGUGUGUGUGUAUGUAUGUAUAUGUGUGUGUGUGUGGGUGUGUUUGGGUGUGUGUGUGUAUAUGUGUGUGUGUGUGUGUUUGUUUGGGUGUAUGUGUCUCCGUCUGUGGCACCACGUGACGAGAACGCGCGCCGGCGUGCUGGGGGAGCUCUACUAGAGACUCCCCCCGCCAUGCUGGCUUGCGCUCUCACCUCACCGCAUAACCGCUGUUUUGUUCGUCCCCCCUUCGCCCUCUCUCCCACACCGACGGUGUCACCGACACAUGGCCAGGGUGAGCAACCCCGACUGAGCCUCUUCGCUGUUUUUUUUUUUGCUUCCUUUCCUUUUCCUGGCUCCUUUCGUCUCACGCGUCAGUGGUGCCGUCGUUGGUCGACAGUCGGUGACUCUCAUAGCACACGUGCAGGCGCUCAGUGGCGCCUGUCAUCGAGUCUUCCAAGUUUCCACUGGGACGCUGUGUGUAGUCGUUGGCUUCAUCGCCGACACCGCUGUCUUCUCUGGCGCAGUGGUGCUCAUGUCUUUCCUCCUCUCUCUCUUUGCAAUCACCUUUCGCAUGACGAUAAGGGCUCAAUUCUCAUCACUGCACGGAGGGUGCGUGCGCAGGCGCGCCCCUGCUGUUCGCGGGUCUUCUGGCGUACGGCUCGCAUGCACGUCGGUGCGUCUGCUCGCCGGCACGCGAAGGUGCGAUGCAGGCGUACGGGUGAGCGGCGAGCCGCCUUCUUCUCUUCCAGGUGAUUUGCUGUGUGAUCUUCACGUACUUUGACAUGAAGAGGAGUGGCCAACACCAGCACGCAUGCACACGAACCCAUACUCUGUCGCGCAUCUAUCCAGCCCGCGCGCCGACUCUCCCCUUUCGAGGCUGCCCCACUGCCUCCUCUCUUUUCCCCGCCCAUGCAG
rnacentral:misc_RNA from 1 species